GGUGAACGCUGGCGGCGUGCCUAAUACAUGCAAGUCGAGCGAAUGGAUUGAGAGCUUGCUCUUAUGAAGUUAGCGGCGGACGGGUGAGUAACACGUGGGUAACCUGCCCAUAAGACUGGGAUAACUCCGGGAAACCGGGGCUAAUACCGGAUAACAUUUUGAACCGCAUGGUUCGAAAUUGAAAGGCGGCUUCGGCUGUCACUUAUGGAUGGACCCGCGUCGCAUUAGCUAGUUGGUGAGGUAACGGCUCACCAAGGCAACGAUGCGUAGCCGACCUGAGGGGGGGAUCGGCCACACGGGGACUGAGACACGGCCCAGACUCCUACGGGAGGCAGCAGUAGGGAAUCUUCCGCAAUGGACGAAAGUCUGACGGAGCAACGCCGCGUGAGUGAUGAAGGCUUUCGGGUCGUAAAACUCUGUUGUUAGGGAAGAACAAGUGCUAGUUGAAUAAGCUGACACCUUGAUGGUACCUAACCAGAAAGCCACGGCUAACUACGUGCCAGCAGCCGCGGUAA
rnacentral:rRNA from 1 species